CAGAGGUGCCAAGCGUUGGGCGGAAUCACUGGGCUUAAAGCGUGUGUAGGUGGAUUUGUAAGUACCUUGUGAAAUCCCACGGCUCAACCGUGGAACUGCUCGGUAUACUGCGAAUCUUGAGCCACUUAGGGGCUACCGGAACAAAUGGUGGAGCGGUGAAAUGCGUAGAUAUCAUUUGGAACGCCAAUGGUGAAAACAGGUAGCUGGGAGUGUGCUGACACUGAGACACGAAAGCCAGGGGAGCGAACGGGAUUAGAUACCCCGGUAGUCCUGGCCGUAAACGAUGUCCACUAGAUCGUGGUGGCUCUGACGCCAUCAUGGUCGAAGCAAAAGUGCUAAGUGGACCGCCUGGGAAGUACGGUCGCAAGGCUA
rnacentral:rRNA from 1 species